AGCCUAUGAUGCUGUAAGAGUAGUGGACAGAAGUGAUUUCUGACAUCUUUAUUACCACUGAGGCU